AUCCCGGUGACGAGUCUCAAAUAAGACGAAAUGUGCAUCCUGGAU
rnacentral:hammerhead_ribozyme from 1 species